rnacentral:rRNA from 1 species
GGGNGAAGCCUGAAGGAGCGACGCCGCGUGGGGGAUGAAUGGCUUCGGCCCGUAAACCCCUGUCAUUUGCGAACAAAUUGAUUCACCUAAUACGUGGAUCAUUGAUUGUAGCGGAAGAGGAAGGGACGGCUAACUCUGUGCCAGCAGCCGCGGUAAUACAGAGGUCCCAAGCGUUGUUCGGAUUCACUGGGCGUAAAGGGUGCGUAGGCGGUCGGGUAAGUCUGACGUGAAAUCUCCGAGCUUAACUCGGAAACGGCGUUGGAUACUAUCCGACUCGAGGAAUGGAGGGGAGACUGGAAUACUUGGUGUAGCAGUGAAAUGCGUAGAUAUCAAGUGGAACACCAGUGGCGAAGGCGAGUCUCUGGACAUUUCCUGACGCUGAGGCACGAAAGCCAGGGGAGCAAACGGGAUUAGAUACCCCGGUAGUCCUGGCCCUAAACGGUGCGCGUUUGCUGUGAGUGGAAUCGACCCCGCUCGUGGCGAAGUUAACACGUUAAACGCGCCGCCUGGGAAGUACGGCCGCAAGGUUAAAACUCAAAAAAAUUGACGGA